GAGAGGCGUUUGGAAGAGAAAGGAUCCAUCAUAGCUGCAGGGCCGCUGCUAGCCUGCAAGUGAGAUGGAGGAGGAGCCGGAGCCGGAGCCCGAGUUGCUUUUCAGGUUGGACUCGCGAAUUUGGAAUACCCAUCAUCUCUCUCACUCCUACUGAAUCUUUACUUGUAUCUAGUUCAGGAUAGAAUGAAGUUUUCUUCAUCUUCUAGUCAUUAUGUCAUAAGACUCAUAACUACAUGAGGCACUUCUGUUCUAUAAAUAAGAUAUCAACUCUAUAUAUAUAAUAAUAAAAAAUUCACUCGGUA